rnacentral:rRNA from 1 species
AGCAGUCGCCGCGGGAAUACGGAGGGUGCAAGCGUUAAUCGGAAUUACUGGGCGUAAAGCGCACGCAGGCGGUUUGUUAAGUCAGAUGUGAAAUCCCCGAGCUUAACUUGGGAACUGCAUUUGAAACUGGCAAGCUAGAGUCUUGUAGAGGGGGGUAGAAUUCCAGGUGUAGCGGUGAAAUGCGUAGAGAUCUGGAGGAAUACCGGUGGCGAAGGCGGCCCCCUGGACAAAGACUGACGCUCAGGUGCGAAAGCGUGGGGAGCAAACAGGAUUAGAUACCCCAGUAGUCCCUGUCUCUUAUAA